GUGGGCGGGCGGGACCGCUAGAGGCUGGUAUUCUCGCCCUUCUCCUCCCCGCCGCGGUCUGGGGCGCUGUCCCGGGCCCUGUGUGUGCAGUCCGGGCUGUCCAACCAAAGGAAUAGGUGGCUUCCUCCUAACUGUCGUAGAGGCCGGAAGGACUGGCGUUCAGCGAUGAGAAAGAGAGCCGAGGCCGGCGGGGAGGGGAGGCGCGCCACUCACGUGUUCAGUUGGGCACCCCUUACCGAACAUCGACUGCGCGCUGCCCCAGCCCCGGCUGUGCAAGAUUGUGUAAGACAGUCUGAGCACCGACGAACCGCCGAGAUGGGCCCGUGAACGAGGAGACGAGAGUGCAAAGCCACCAGUUUGAGAAGUGCGGGGCAGACACCAGAGAGCGAGACUGCCUGGGCCGGGGCGAGGGGCGGGCGGCGAAUAUGGUUUUGAAGGGCAGAAAGUUCAUUCACAUGCAUUAGGCAGAGAGAAGGAAGAAGGAACAGCGAAGGGGAGACAAGCACACACCUCCCUGUGGUCAGGUGUGUGCUUGUCUGUGAACUCAAAGAACAUUCAUUUAAGGAAUUUCAGCUUUCCUCAUUUAAAUUUAAAUUGGCUAUGGUCCAUUCCUCAUUCCUAUUUUUAUUCCACUUCAAGAUAGCUUCUUUAAAAAAUUGCCCUGGAAGCACCUGGCUGGCUCAGUUGAAAGCGUGUGCGCUUCUUGGAUCUCUGGGUAAUGAGUUCCAACCCCAUGUUGGGGGUAGAGGUUACUAAAAAAAAUAAAUAAGCUUUAAAAA